UACGAAGGGGGCUAGCGUUGCUCGGAAUCACUGGGCGUAAAGGGUGCGUAGGCGGGUCUUUAAGUCAGGGGUGAAAUCCUGGAGCUCAACUCCAGAACUGCCUUUGAUACUGAGGAUCUUGAGUACGGGAGAGGUGAGUGGAACUGCGAGUGUAGAGGUGAAAAUUCGUAGAUAUUCGCAAGAACACCAGUGGCGAAGGCGGCUCACUGGCCCGUUACUGACGCUGAGGCACGAAAGCGUGGGGAGCAAACAGGA
rnacentral:rRNA from 1 species